rnacentral:lncRNA from 1 species
CUGUGGGAAACACACACUGGAGCAAGUUUGCUGUCAGGACUUGUGACCCCCUCAGGGAAAAAUCUGUCAUUCCUCAGAUGGGGAAACAAACGUGUGGAAAGGGCUGCUGACACGUGGCUUCAAAUCCUCUGGCAGAGCACAGCUCUCACCCAUCUCUGCCGCAUUCCCUGGGUCUCCCUCCUCCCCUCGCUCCUCCAGGUGAGGCAGGCUCCCUGCAGCCCCUCCCCAGUGCCAAAGCGCCUGUCUGCACAGCUUGCUCUGGGUCCUGCCCCUGUCUGAAAUGAGGGAGAGCCCUGCAGGAUCUCACUCUGCUUUUCUGGGGCAGAGAGGCAGAGCCUGAGGCUGAGCAGGCAGCCUGUGUUUGCUCUGUGCCUGCCAUGAGAGGCCUGGUGAGCGCUGGUGUCGCUGGCAGGGGCAGAACAAUUGGUUGUACUGAUGAAUCCUGGGCCUAUUGGGGGUCACAUAUUAACAAUAAACUGGAAAUGCCAACUAGACCGCGUUCGUUC